CCUACGGGAGGCAGCAGUGGGGAAUAUUGCACAAUGGGGGAAACCCUGAUGCAGCGACGUCGCGUGAGUGAAGAAGUAUCUCGGUACGUAAAGCUCUAUCAGCAGGGAAGAAAAUGACGGUACCUGACUAAGAAGCCCCGGCUAACUACGUGCCAGCAGCCGCGGUAAUACGUAGGGGGCACGCGUUAUCCGGAUUUACUGGGUGUAAAGGGAGCGUAGACGGGAGCACAAGUCUGGAGUGAAAUCCCGGGGCUUAACCCCGGAACUGCUUUGGAAACUGGGGCGCUGGAGUGCAGGAGGGGAAGGCGGAAUUCCUGGUGUAGCGGUGAAAUGCGUAGAUAUUAGGAGGAACACCGGUGGCGAAGGCGGCUUACUGGACUGUAACUGACGUUGAGGCUCGAAAGCGUGGGGAGCAAACAGGAUUAGAUACCCCUGUAGUC
rnacentral:rRNA from 1 species